rnacentral:lncRNA from 1 species
GAGUGGGAGUUGUUGGGAAUUGUAUCCUAAAUGUCAAUCGUCAGCAUGUUGAUGAUUAAAUGAAUUGACAAAUCAAUAAAGUAUUUUUUGGCAUUAUUCAUCAUUUUACAUCUUCAAAUGAACUCUUAUAUGAUGAAGUCUGUUCGUCCUUUCCUAUCUACCUAAAAAUAUGCUAGACAGAUCGUUGUUAGAACCGACGAACAAAAGUUAAAUUAAUUUUACUCUUACCUUUCCUACUCGAAGAAUAGUGGUUGUAAGAGGUCGAUCCACAGGGAGGCGAUUGGAGUUGCUUAAAACGUUCACUCGGAUUCAAAAUCGAUUUUGAAUAACUAAAGAAAAACAUGAUGUCGGGGAUGAUGAUAGAUUCUCUAAUUUACCAGAGAAUUUUCUUU